rnacentral:rRNA from 1 species
CCCUUAGAUGCUCUGGGCCGCACGCGCGCUACACUGGUCGAUGCAACGAGUUUCUUUCCUUGGCCGACAGGCCUGGGCAAUCUUUGAACAUCGAUCGUGAUCGGGAUAGAUUCUUGUAAUUUUUGAUCUUAAACGAGGAAUUCCUAGUAAACGCAAGUCAUCAGCUUGCAUUGAUUACGUCCCUGCCCUUUGUACACACCGCCCGUCGCACCUACCGAUUGAAUGGUCCGGUGAAAUCUCCGGACUGGCGUGAGUCGGAGCAAUCUGACAAACACCGGAAAGUUGAUUAAACCUUACCAUUUAGAGGAAGGUGAAGUCGUANCA